rnacentral:rRNA from 1 species
AUUGAACGCUGGCGGCAUGCCUUACACAUGCAAGUCGAACGGCAGCACGGACUUCGGUCUGGUGGCGAGUGGCGAACGGGUGAGUAAUGCAUCGGAACGUGCCAUUGAGUGGGGGAUAACGUAGCGAAAGUUGCGCUAAUACCGCAUAUUCUGUGAGCAGGAAAGCAGGGGACCGCAAGGCCUUGCGCUCUUUGAGCGGCCGAUGUCAGAUUAGCUAGUUGGUGAGGUAAAGGCUUACCAAGGCGACGAUCUGUAGCGGGUCUGAGAGGAUGAUCCGCCACACUGGAACUGAGACACGGUCCAGACUCCUACGGAGGCAGCAGUGGGGAAUUUUGGACAAUGGGGGCAACCCUGAUCCAGCCAUGCCGCGUGAGUGAAGAAGGCC